GGCUGCCCCACCCAGCAAGGCCAAUGCCACCUGCCCACGACCUCAGUGGGGACUUACACCCCAGCCCAGAGAAGCUGGGCCUGGGUAAAGGAAGGGGACUUAGGGUGAGGUCCAUCAUGGGGUGUGGGUGGGGCAGAGUCAAAGAAAAAGCGAAGUGCAGCGUUCAAAUCAUCCUACGGGUUGACAUUUCUGUACCCCCACCUCCAGUGGUGUAACCUGGCUAACAGCAGCCUGGAUCAGGCACAUAUGACACAAAGGCAGACUCAGAAAGCGCUCAAUGAUGCCACCAGAGAAUCUGGUUUCCCCACAAAGGGUGGGGCCGGGCACUGCCAGCUAAGCCCUAUCCUGACAGACACAGCCACGGGCAGCACAGAUUCUCUCGCUGAGGAAUGAGGAGGGCUGCGAGGACUCAAACCCUGGCUUGGCCACUUACCUGCUGGGAGACUUUGGGCAAGUUACCACUUUGGAGCCUCGGUUUCCUCUGCUGUGAAAUGGGGUGAUGUACCCCCAAACCUGCCGAUCCAGCAAAGAUGACAUGAGAUUAUGAAUGUACAGGGCCUGGCGCACAAUCAACGGCCACUAAUUGGUGGCUUCUUUUAUUCCUGGUUGACCACUCACUGCUCACUUAGCCUAUCUGAGCCAAGAGCCCCAGAGAUAACAGAUCUCUAUUUGACAGGUGGGGAAAUUGAGGCUCAGACACGUCAAAAGUCACCUGUCCCAGGUCCCAUUGUUGGGGGGGGGUACCCUCCGCCACCCCGUAACUCGUGAGGCAAAGUGGCCAAUAUAUGGCCCUGGGGUGGUGACCAAGGUGCUGGGGGAGAGUUUAGGUGUGGGCCUCUGAGACUUGUGAGCUCCUCCUAGUCCCCUAGGCAGAAAUGACAUCACCUGGCGCUUAGGUAGUCCUUCUCAGCUUAUCAAAGGGCUUUCUCAAACAGUCUCUCACGCUGUCUGUCCAUACCUAUCACCAGUGGCUGACAAGGUGAGAGCAAGGGCUCAGGCCCUAUUUCAAUGCCAAGUCCUGCUCCUGCCCCUUCCCACAGUGGGUCCCCCACCUCCUCUUCCAGGCCUUCUGCAGGCCACCCUGCAGGCCUGACCUGGCGAGGGCCAUCUGGAGAGGGAAGAGAGGCUUCUUGCUGGAUCAGGGGCAGGACCACCUGAGGAUGCCCAAGGCUCUGAAAGGCUUACCCUGUUCCCGGCCCUGCGAGCCCGGCCAGAGGGAGCAGAGCUGAGGGUCACCGCCUCCAUGACCCCCUCACCCCCGCAUCAUGACACACAUGCAGGCAGACAGGGAGAAGCCCUGGCUGGGAGGAGCCAGCACGUCCUGGCCUGAGACUCCACUCCCACGUCCGAGCCCACCCUCAGUCCCCUCGGCAUCCGCGGAGCAGGGCUCCCCACCCCAGACCAGGCCACUUCUGCAGGGUAAUUCUAGCACUGCUAUUCUUCGACAUGCUCUUAGCUAGCCCUCCCAACAGCCCACGAGGCAAGGCCCCUGUCAUCGUCACGAGCCUGUGCCAAGGGCACACAGACACGCUCCUAACACCAGGCAUGACGCCAUUAUCCCGAUGGCUCCUACCUCAGACUCCGGGCCCAAGACUUCCCAUGCAUCACCCCUGGAAUCCUCACAGCAACCGGUCCUGGUGGCCUACUGCUACCCCACAGUACAGCUGAGGAGACUGAAGCACAGACCACAAGCGACCCUCAUCCUACCGACCACUACCUCAUGGGCCACCAUGGCUGCCAGCUUCUGGGCCUCGCUCCUUGGCUCCCCACGCUGGGCAUCACCCUCCUACCGUCCUCCUACCCUCCUGGCCAGCGUCCCUGCCUGGCACUGCCCACUUAGCUCCAACCACUCUCCUGGCACCCCACCCCCACAACAUGCCUCCGGCAGCUUUUGAACUGCAAACAAAUGACUUGUGUCUGGGUCCCUGCAUAAGUUUACACAAUGACGGAAUGUGAACACUUCCCCGAAGAUGAGAGGAUGAAUUUUUCUUUACACUCAGAUCUCACUCCCAAAGGGAAGCAACAGUAACUUUAUGGGCUGUCGGGGAAAAGCCCCUGUUUUCCCCCAGUGAUGGGGCAGGUGGGGUAACUCCUCCUGGCCUCUAUCCCGAGAGCUGGCCUGGCCUGGGCACCUCCCCAACCUAGCCACCAUGCGCUGAGGUUAGCCUGCACACUCCCAGCGGGCGCUGAUGACCCCACCAGUCCUCCCCCAGCCUGGCUCAGCUGGAUAGGAAACUGGGAGCAAAUGUGUGAGCUCACUCUGGAAAUCCCCACGGGUGGCCAGGACGACACGAAGACCGAAGACUGCUCCAAAGUGGGUGGUUCAGACCCGAAGGGACGUGUGGAGUUGGGGGAGGAAGCCCAGAGAGUUCAUCUCCCCAGAUGCUGCACCACGGGGCAGGCAGGACGCUGGGGCCACCCCAAUAUUGCCACCACUCAUUCUGAACCAAUUAGAAGUGCCAGGUGGCUCAUUCAAGUCACCUGUUUUUGUUUCAGGAUUUUUUUUUUUUAAGUCUUAUUUAAGUAAUCUGUAUACCCAAUAUGGGGCUCAAACUUAUGACCCCAAGAUCGAGUCACAUGCCCUCCUGAGCCAGCCAGGCACCCUCGUUCAAGUCACCUGGACACGAACAGGUACGUGCACGCACAGACACACCCCCUUGACUUCUUCCUGUCCUUAUCUGCUCUCUCAUCUAGCAUGGUUGACAGGAACCCCGUGAAGAGUCUGGCCACCAGUAAAAACACCACCACUGAGGAAGAGCCAGACCCAGACCCCAGGGGCCUCCAUGAUGUAUUUGUGGUGUGACUAAUCCCUCCUGCGAGAAGAACAGAAGUCCCCUCCUGGGCAGAAAGAGAGAGAGAGAGUGUGUGUGUGUGUGUCACACCAUGUACAGCUGUAGCUCGCACAUGAGCGAGCCAGAUAGGAGUCAGCUGGUGGCUUAGCAGCAGGUAGGCACGAGGUUUUGGGGUCGGGCCUGGGAAUGACAGCCCAGGUUCAGUAUCAGGCUCUGCUGCUUUGUGCCAUGAGAGACACACUGAAGACGGGCCACAGUUUUCUGUUCAACAAAAAGACGGGAGUGUCACUCCAGCCCUUUAAAGUUAAAAGCAAACAAAAACAAAACCAGAAAAACCAACCAGAAACUACCACCUGCUCUCCUUCUGUCCUGCUAUCGUUCCCAGGCCAGGAGGCCGGGGUCCAGAAGUGAACAGGAUGGGAGCAACGGACACUGUCAGAAAACAGGAAGGGAGGGCAGCGGGUGGCCUGGGCUCCUGGGGACGGACAGCUGCUUCACUCCAUCCCACCCUUCUAGAACAGCCCCCUCACCUCCAUCCCCCGAGAGCUGGGCCAAUGUUCCUGAGCCCAACUCAAACCGGAGUCGUCCCUACUGGGGUCCCCCUGGCCUGGCGCUUGGCUAACACCAGGAGCAUGGGGUGCCUCGCACUGCCAGCAGCAGGGCCCACCCUGGGGCCUCUUGUCUAACCCAGGUUCCCACAGCCACAGAGGACCUUUCUUUUUUUUUUUUUGCGGGAGGGAAGCAGAUUAGGGGAGCCACAGGGAAUUAAAAACCUGUUAGUCCUUGGA